AACGAACGCUGGCGGCGUGGAUAAGACAUGCAAGUCGAACGGGACAAGUAGCAAUAUUUGUCUAGUGGCGAACGGGUGCGUAACACGUGGGCAACAUGCCUGGAAGAGCGGGAUAGCCCGGGGAAACUCGGAUUAAUACCGCAUGUGACAACGGGGCGGAUUCGCCCUGUUUUCAAAGGUGGGGACCGCAAGGCCUGCCGCUUCCAGAUUGGCCCGCGUCCUAUCAGCUAGUUGGCGGGGUAACGGCCCACCAAGGCGACGACGGGUAGCUGGUCGGAGAGGACGACCAGCCACACUGGAACUGAGACACGGUCCAGACACCUACGGGUGGCAGCAGUCGAGAAUCUUUCACAAUGGGGGAAACCCUGAUGGAGCGACGCCGCGUGGAGGAUGACGGCCUUCGGAUUGUAAACUCCUGUCAUGAAAGAACAAGCGGAGCGGGUGAACAGCCCGCCGAGUUGAUAGUAUUUCAAGAGGAAGGGACGGCUAACUUCGUGCCAGCCGCCGCCGUAAAAC
rnacentral:rRNA from 1 species